rnacentral:misc_RNA from 1 species
AACGCACAUUGCGCCCCUUGGUAUUCCAUGGGGCAUGCCUGUUCGAGCGUCAUUUGUACCUUCAAGCUCUGCUUGGUGUUGGGUGUUUGUCUCGCCUCUGCGUGUAGACUCGCCUCAAAACAAUUGGCAGCCGGCGUAUUGAUUUCGGAGCGCAGUACAUCUCGCGCUUUGCACUCAUAACGACGACGUCCAAAAGUACAUUUUUACACUCUUGACCUCGGAUCAGGUAGGGAUACCCGCUGAACUUAA